UACAGAGGUCCCAAGCGUUGUUCGGAUUCACUGGCGUAAAGGGUGCGUAGGUGGCCGGGUAAGUCUGACGUGAAAUCUCCGAGCCUAACUCGGAAACUGCAUCGGAUACUAUCCGGCUUGAGGAUUGGAGGGGGGACUGGAAUACUUGGUGGUAGCAGUGAAAUGCGUAGAUAUCAAGUGGAACACCAGUGGCGAAAGGCGAGUCCCUGGACAAUUCCUGACACUGAGACACGAAGGCCAGGGGAGCAAACGGG
rnacentral:rRNA from 1 species